UGAGUUGGCUGGGUGAUCGCGGCGGCUGAACCACCCCGGUAUCGGGGAAGGCAGUAGUCGAGGAAAGUCCGGACUCCACAGAGCACGGUGGUUGUUAACGGCAACCCGGGGUAACCCGCGGGCACGUGCAACAGAGAGUAGACCGCCAGGCCUGAUUGGUCGGGUAAGGGUGAAAGGGUGCGGUAAGAGCGCACCGGCGGGCCAGGUGACUGGUCCGGCCAGGUAAACCCCACCGGGAGCAAGGCAUCAAAGCCUGCCAAUAGCGCAGGCUGGUUCGGAUGAUUGAGGGUGACUCGCCUGAGUCCGAAGGUAGCUGCUUGAGGCGAUCAGCGAUGGUCGACCCAGAUGGAUGUUCACCGCCUCUUUUAGAGGUACAGAAUCCGGCUUAUCGGCUGGCUCAUUCG
rnacentral:RNase_P_RNA from 1 species